rnacentral:misc_RNA from 1 species
GCCAGUUGCGUAUUGGCUCUCACUGACUAACCAACCAGAGACGAGAAUUUUACUUAAAUUGUGAAUAUUAACCGAGAAUAUUCAAAUUAAAAAUACAAUAAAAUUUCUUAUCACUGUAAAUGUAUCCAGAAAUUUCAAACUUUCCAUUUGAAGAUAGUGAAAAUGUUGCAGCAUUGUUGAACGAUAUUAUCCAGGAAGACGGUUUUGCGGAAGGGAAUCUUCCUUCGAAUUUGGAAGAUGAUUUCUUAAUAGGGGAAUUUCUUCCAUUAAUGAAACAAACCGAAGAAUAUAUUGAUCAAUUUAGAGCUGAAGGUUCAACUGUAAAUAUAGUUUCUCCCACUGGAGAUCAACAACAGGGUUUUCCACUUUUUCCAGGAAAAAAGUAUAAACCUCCUGCAUUAAAUCACCCGUCACUCCUGUCUAGCGACGAGAAUAUUAGACUGGCUAUUAUAAGUCAACCGAGUGAAAAACACAGAGCUCGCUACCCGUCCGAAGGAAGCCGUGGAGCAAUUAAAGGUCGAGAACAUUUUGAGUAUCCAGAAAUUCAAUUGCAAGGUUAUUUUGGUUCAUCGACUGUAACAUUGCAAAUUUUCUUAGCCAACGAAACGGGAAAUGUAAAACCUCAUGGAUUAUAUCAAGCUGUCAUAGUAAAAGGACGCCGCCGAAGAGAUUGUAUCACUAAAGUUAUUCAAGAUACAAACGUCUUGGAGACAAAAUUAAAGUCUUCCAAUAAUUAUCGUGCCAAAUGAUGCUUCAGGGUCGACUUUAUUGGAAUCUUAAAAAUACGAAUCCGGGACGCAAUCAGCAACAGCAGGAACUUAACAAGUAAAAAAUCAAACAAAGUUAGACUUGCGUUUAGAGUAUUAAUUAACGAAAAUGAUCCAUACAAUGGAAAGACAUUGCAAACUGUUUCUGAAACAAUUAUUUGCAGUAAGUUAAUUCUUUCAAACAUGUUAAUAAAAAAUAGAAGCAGAUAUGUAAUAGAAAUUCGACUUCACUAUGCUCUCCCUGCCUGUUGGACUGACACAGAACAACAUCAUCAAGAGAUGCUUACGAAAAGUCGAGUCUUCUAUAUAUAUUUUUUGUCUAUUUUUCAAUAUAUAAAAAACAUUCCUAUGCAAAACAUCGUUGUAAUUCUAUUUUCUUCGUGAUAAAUUUUCAGCUCAGAAAAAGGGUAAUUCAAACACUAUAACUACUACAACACCUGAUGAUUACUUAUUUGCGAAUGUUCCGACAACGAUUGUAGAUUUUUGACUGAUUUCUCGUUUUUUACACUCGAUUAGAGAGAAAAAACGUGUAAUUACCAAAAAAAUAACAAAAUAAUCAAAACUAUACUCCCUUCCCACUUCCCCAAGCACACUAUUACAGCCAGCAAGCGAGCAAACAAACAAAAGUUGUGAUUACUCUUUACUCAGAAUGAGGCAAUAACUCGUAACUCAUCAUAAAUAGUUACUAAAGACAGUUCUCCCACCGUCAUAACUCAGUUGGAUGAUCCGGGAAAAACUCUUAUUCUUCUUUAGUUGUUAUUUUCUCUAGAUUCGCGAACAGUUUAAUCUAUUUCUUUUUUAUUAUUUGACAUAACAAUUUAAGUUUUUCAGUUUUGUUUUUAUUCUUCAGAAAUAUACAAGGAAAAACUC